rnacentral:rRNA from 1 species
UACGGAGGAUGCGAGCGUUAUCCGGAUUUAUUGGGUUUAAAGGGUGCGUAGGCGGGCUUUUAAGUCAGCGGUAAAAAUUCGGGGCUCAACCCCGUCCGGCCGUUGAAACUGGGGGUCUUGAGUGGGCGAGAGGAAGGCGGAAUGCGUGGUGUAGCGGUGAAAUGCAUAGAUAUCACGCAGAACCCCGAUUGCGAAGGCAGCCUUCCGGCGCCCUACUGACGCUGAGGCACGAAAGUGCGGGGAUCGAACAGG